rnacentral:lncRNA from 1 species
CCUCGUAGAAUCUAUAAAAGACUUAUAUUUAAGAACGGAAAGAGUAUAUCUUUACCCCGUGCAUCUGCAAGAAAUUUCUUGACCUCGUACUACGUGAUAUUGCGGGAGCGCAUACGAUUUCAUCUCAACAUCCACGUUCUUGAUGCCACGAUUGCUCCUGUUGUUGUAGCCUAUGGGAAUGGAUAUUUCUUCUUCCCUUUAUUUGGCCGCAAGACCUGCCACAUUAGAUAGAUCGAUUGAUGAGAAAGAUACCAUGACCGCUGUUCCAUGAGAGGGUUUUAUGAAAGUGGACUAUUACAAAUAUCUACGUAAUUAGACUCCGUGACAAUCUGAAGAAUCAAUCUGCAUGGUGCCUCCUUUUGUUAAAAAAGGAUUUAUACGUUGUUGGCUUUCUUCCAUUGACUUUAUUGACCCUGAGCUUGCAACCACAUCCCAGAAAUUUCUAUGAUUGUAUUUUGUGCUUUCCUUGGCCUGGAAACCUAGGGUUCUAGUGCACACAGGGAUAAGAGAUGAGACAGACGACAAAGAGAAUAAGACCAAACCCAUGCUGUAAAACAAAUUCACCAUACCAGUGAUGCAUGAUGGCAGAAAAUUAAAGAGGAAAAUGAUUAAAGCAGAUGGAGAACUCCUAAAUUUAUCAUUAGCACGUGUAUAGAGUAUAGAGUUGUAUAGAUUGAACCUGCAUGAUGGCAUAGCUUCACAUGUGGAGGGCGGAGCCGGUGGCCGGAUCCUCGAUCUGGUUGACACACGUCCUCAGGGCUUCCCAUCAUCUAGUAUUCUGAUCAUGGCAGGCUCAUCCAUAUCCGGCAAAGAUCAGAGAGCUUUUCUCAUGAGCUAUGCAUGUACGUGAUCAAGGCUGCUUAUUAGCAGUAGUUGACAAAUCUGGCUCAUACGAUGUGGGGACGGUCUCGCUGCUGGCAGGGCUUGACUUGCUAGAUCAAGAGUUCUUUUUCUUUUGCUGAUCCACAGGAAGGAGAGAGUCGUGAGAGAUAUUGGGAUCUAGACUUGACUCGUAAGAUCGAGAGUUCUUUUUUUUAAACUGAGGUGGAGACUUGGAAGAGAGGCAUAAUGCGUGUUCCCAUCUCCAGAUCUCGUCUAAAUUAUAAUUUCUAGGGAAUUUCAUGUGAUAUCGAGAGUUUCUUUUUUAAUUGAA